rnacentral:rRNA from 1 species
CCUACGGGUGGCAGCAGUGAGGAAUAUUGGUCAAUGGCCGGAAGUCUGAACCAGCCAAGCCGCGUGAAGGAAGACGGUGCUAUGCAUUGUAAACUUCUUUUGUCCAGGGGCAAAAGUCACCACGAGUGUCCUUCCGAGAGUACUCGACGAAAAAGCAUCGGCUAACUCCGUGCCAGCAGCCGCGGUAAUACGGAGGAUGCAAGCGUUAUCCGGGUUUAUUGGGUUUAAAGGGUGCGGAGGCGGAUCGAUAAGUUAGCGGUAAAAUUCCCGGGCUCAAACCGGGCCGGGCCUUUGAAACUGGUUGUCUUGAGAGUGUGAGAGGUAGGCGGAAUGUGUGGUGUAGCGGUGAAAUGCUUAGAGAUCACACAGAACUCCGAUUGCGAAGGCAGCAUACCGGCGCACAUCUGACGCUGAGGCACGAAAGCGUGGGUAUCGAACAGGAUUAGAUACCCGAGUAGUC